UGCAGUCGAGCGGUAGCACAGGAGAGCUUGCUCUCCGGGUGACGAGCGGCGGACGGGUGAGUAAUGUCUGGGAAACUGCCUGAUGGAGGGGGAUAACUACUGGAAACGGUAGCUAAUACCGCAUAACGUCGCAAGACCAAAGAGGGGGACCUUCGGGCCUCUUGCCAUCAGAUGUGCCCAGAUGGGAUUAGCUAGUAGGUGGGGUAACGGCUCACCUAGGCGACGAUCCCUAGCUGGUCUGAGAGGAUGACCAGCCACACUGGAACUGAGACACGGUCCAGACUCCUACGGGAGGCAGCAGUGGGGAAUAUUGCACAAUGGGCGCAAGCCUGAUGCAGCCAUGCCGCGUGUAUGAAGAAGGCCUUCGGGUUGUAAAGUACUUUCAGCGGGGAGGAAGGUGUUGAGGUUAAUAACCUCGUCAAUUGACGUUACCCGCAGAAGAAGCACCGGCUAACUCCGUGCCAGCAGCCGCGGUAAUACGGAGGGUGCAAGCGUUAAUCGGAAUUACUGGGCGUAAAGCGCACGCAGGCGGUCUGUCAAGUCGGAUGUGAAAUCCCCGGGCUCAACCUGGGAACUGCAUUCGAAACUGGCAGGCUAGAGUCUUGUAGAGGGGGGUAGAAUUCCAGGUGUAGCGGUGAAAUGCGUAGAGAUCUGGAGGAAUACCGGUGGCGAAGGCGGCCCCCUGGACAAAGACUGACGCUCAGGUGCGAAAGCGUGGGGAGCAAACAGGAUUAGAUACCCUGGUAGUCCACGCCGUAAACGAUGUCGACUUGGAGGUUGUGCCCUUGAGGCGUGGCUUCCGGAGCUAACGCGUUAAGUCGACCGCCUGGGGAGUACCGCCGCAAGGUUAAAACUCAAAUGAAUUGACGGGGGCCCGCACAAGCGGUGGAGCAUGUGGUUUAAUUCGAUGCAACGCGAAGUACCUUACCUACUCUUGACAUCCAGAGUACUUUUCAGAGAUGCAUUGGUGCCUUCGGGAACUCUGAGACAGGUGCUGCAUGGCUGUCGUCAGCUCGUGUUGUGAAAUGUUGGGUUAAGUCCCGCAACGAGCGCAACCCUUAUCCUUUGUUGCCAGCGGUUCGGCCGGGAACUCAAAGGAGACUGCCAGUGAUAAACUGGAGGAAGGUGGGGAUGACGUCAAGUCAUCAUGGCCCUUACGAGUAGGGCUACACACGUGCUACAAUGGCGCAUACAAAGAGAAGCGACCUCGCGAGAGCAAGCGGACCUCAUAAAGUGCGUCGUAGUCCGGAUUGGAGUCUGCAACUCGACUCCAUGAAGUCGGAAUCGCUAGUAAUCGUAGAUCAGAAUGCUACGGUGAAUACGUUCCCGGGCCUUGUACACACCGCCCGUCACACCAUGGGAGUGGGUUGCAAAAGAAGUAGGUAGCUUAACCUUCGGGAGGGCGCUACCACUUUGA
rnacentral:rRNA from 2 species